rnacentral:rRNA from 1 species
CACGUAGGGCGCAAGCGUUGUCCGGAAUUAUUGGGCGUAAAGAGCUCGUAGGCGGUCUGUUGCGUCCGCUGUGAAAACUCGGGGCUUAACCCCGAGCCUGCAGUGGAUACGGGCAGACUAGAGGUAGGUAGGGGAGAAUGGAAUUCCCGGUGUAGAGGUGAAAUUCGUAGAUAUCGAGAGGAACACCGGUGGCGAAGGCGGCCUUCUGGACAGUGACUGACGCUGAGACGCGAAAGCGUGGGGAGCAAACAGG